UCCCACCAAGUUAAUUGUCCAGAUCAAGGA
rnacentral:piRNA from 2 species